CGGAGGAGCUUCUCCUUCACAUAGGCGGAGCCGCCCGCCAAUCAGCAACGACAGCCAAUAGCGUGAGGACGCAGCGCGCCUUAGCCCACCCAGCGACCCUGAGGCUACUUCGCUUUCCUAUUUGUGGAGGGAACGGCAUCGCUGCAGUUGCAUUGGGGGCAGGAACUGCCAAUCUAACGGGAUCUGGUUAAUUCCCUCCCACUCCUCCGAUGCGAUUGGUCAGGUUGCCCCGCUGAGGUGUUUUGCUCGGGAAACCCUGGGGGGCGCGUGACUUCCGUUUCCGGGUAACAGCCGUGCUUAUGGCGGCGGGACCCCGUGCGCCUCAGUCGCCUUCUGUUGGGCCCAACGGCGAGAUGCACGGGCCGCGCUUCCCCGCCGCGGGGUGCGGAGCCGCCCGGUUCCCUCCUUGUCCUCGGGGCGGCUGGGGCGGAGGCUGAGCGGUGCGGCGGGGAGGCCAGUGGGGCUGCUGCCGCCGCCUUGACCCGCUCCCCUCGGGCCUGGCGUUUAGUGCCGGGAGAGGAGCCAGAGUUACCGGUAGCUCUGCACGGCUUGGUCUGUCGCCAGAACAGCCGGUGGGGCUGGCAGCGGGAUGGGGCGGGCGGGGCGUGCCCCGGGGCGGGUUGGGUCGGUGCUGGAAGACGGACGGAACCGGCCGCCAUCAGCCGGGGAAGCCCUGGAUGCGGACGCGUCCUGGGGGCGGCCGUGCGGGCAGCCCCGGAGCUGCUGGGCAGCCGCCGGGGUCUUUCCGGGACCUCGGAGCGGAGCGCGGAGUCUCCUGCAGCAGCCAGGCCCACCUUAUAAUGAUUUAAAUCAUCUGUUCAGAAGAAAUAUUAAUGGGACUCCCAUAAGACUCCUGACAUCUUGCUGAUGUUCCUGUUAGAAGACCUAUCGCCUCAUUUUGAAAACAGUAAUAAAAGCACAAGUAUUCAAACUGCAGGGCUUAAAUGCUCACAGUUACUCACAAACUAAGUUACUUCCAGGCAUUCUGCUGCUGAACACAAUUACUAGCUAUGGAUUGGUGGUUUGAGAAUUUUAUAUAGUGUGCAAGAAGGUAGACAGCUAAGAAUGAUCCCGUCAGAAAGUUUUUAGUUCGUUUUGCUUUUAAAAAGGGGAGGGCUAAAUUCACUGGUGAGAAGGAUGGGAAGGAAAGUCUCAUUUCAGCUUAUCGGAACAGGACACCUCUUUCUGUCCAAGUCUGAUAUCUGUGUGUCUUUCUAACUUGUGAUAGUGCCUCGAAAUGAAGUCCCUUAUUGUGCCUUAACAAUUGAGCUCUACUUAGCCAAUUUUAUUGUUUCUUGAAGCUUUUUAGUGGGUUGACUUGAGCUCUAAGUGUUCUGCAUGCUAGGUUAAUAAUUUCAACAUACCAUCAAGGCAACAUCUGGCAGCACCAACAUAUCCUCAAUUUGAGGGCAUUAAAAAUGCUUGAAAUGCAUGUACACUUCUGGACUGCACAGUUAAAGUUUGUGUGGGAUGCCUAAAUUGUGAAUGCUGAAGAAACAUCUGUGAAAAGUUCCUGAUUAUUUUGAAGAUGUACUAGUUUGAAAAAGUCGAAGCCCCACAUUUAACAAAUAGAAUAGAAUAUCAUGUUCAGGCUUGAAUGAACAAGGCACUUUAAACAAGGCACUCUUUAGACUUCAAGCUUGCUUCUUAAUGACACUGAUUUCAGUAUACACUUCUUCAUAGUAAUGCUCUGCGAAUUGUGAAGCUGUCUUGGAGCAAGGACAUGUGGUAUGACCUUAGUAAUAGAAGAGUAGAAUUAUUCUUUGGGAUAAGCAGGCUUCUUGCAACUUUUCUGCCUGGCCAGAGUCUGUUAGACCCUUGUUCCUUAUUUGCAGAUGGUAGUGGUUCUUGAGUCUUCCAGUAUUACAGAGGAAGCAUAACUUUAUAUACAUCUAACUUAUAUGCAGAGCUGAGAAAUGUUACCUCCAGUGACAACAGCUCUUGCCUCUUUUCACCCAGGAGUUAUGAAUGCCAAAAUCUUUCAUGGGCCUGAAAAAAGACUUGGGUAAACUCUAGAAAGUGAAAUUGAUCCGCUAAAUACAAAGAUGUGGUUACUGGCUCAAGUCUUGAGCCAUAGAAAGCUAGGGACUGGGAUUAUAACUCUAUGCAAAGAAAUAUGUUCUUGUGCCCCAGUUAAGCUCAAUUGGCAUACUCUGUGUGUAGCCAUGAUGACAGGAGAGCUUUUGUUGACAGCUUAUUUUCUGAACGUGCAAUUGCAGUGAGGCAAGAAAAGCUCUGAGGAGUGUGUGUUUGAUGUCCAGGAGGGAGCUCUGGCGGCUGGUGAUCCCCGAGGUACGCACUUCACUGAGGUGGCAGCCUGUAGUGACUGAAAGCUUGUUGCCUCUGAGAGUGAGUACAUCUGUUCAUCUUCAGCACUUUUGAAUUCCCUUAUCUAUUCCAUAUCAAGUUAAACACAAAAAAAAUUACAGUAAGGUGUUUUUCUGUCUCAUUUUGAGAAAUGCAUCUCAUGUUACAAAAACUUGCCUCAACUUGAAACAUCACUGGCCAUUUGAUCUCUUCUGUGGCAGAAGACAGGUAGAACCAAGCAUUUAUCAUCACACCUGAGUUUCAACUGUAUGAGAUUUCUUGAAAUAAAAAUUAAAGUUUUGUACACAUCAGUGUAUUUGUAAAAUAGAUGGAAUUACUAUGGAGAUUCUUAAUUAUAAAGUUUUUUAAAAAAUCUUAGUAUUAUUAAACUGAGUACUAUAAUAUUUCAAUAAAGAUUUUAUUUUUUCAUCA